UUCCUUCUUCACGUAACUGUGUGGAUAUUGGUUGGAUAUAUGGACAACCAUUCAGCUCCCGGAAAAGGGGCAUCUGUAUGGUCCAACAUGCUGAGACCUUUCUUGACCUCCCAAAGGUGAAUAAAUCAGAGAUGGCAGCCACACUUGGUCUCAGUCAUUGGGCCAAUCCAAAACUGGAUUACCUACCCAUGUACACUCCCCCUUCCUGCCACUUCAUAUCCAACUAAAAUGUCAUGAGCUACAAAUGACCAGUGAUAGGCUCUCACGGAAUCAGAGAUCUGUGUAGGCCACUGAGAGGUGGCCACUUGCAAGAGGGUUAUUUGAAAAGAAGUAUAGAUUAUACAAAGAGUGGGGUCAGACACAUUGUAUUUCUACAGACAAAAUUAUUAAGCAGAAACACAGCAGGAUUUGUUUAAUAAUAAAGUGGUUUGUUGGGGUUUAGGAUUUUAUUAUUUCUUUUUAGAAAAAUGAGAAAAUUUACAAGAUGCAAAGGUCUUACACAAUACAUUAUCACCAAUGUUUGUUCUCUUUACACCUAAACCAGGCCCUGGCUUAGCCAGUGUUGGGAAGAACAUGGACAGCGUGAAUGCAGUUGAGACCCAUCAUGAACACAUGUGAAAGGAGGACCGGUGACAAAUGAUGUUGGGCCAGCCUGUUUUAAAAGCAAGCCAAGAAAUCACAGGAACCAGCAAAGUCUUUGCAUGGGGGAAGCAUGGGUGUAUGCCCUGCUGCCAUGUGCAUGGGGUGCACACCCCUGCACUGCCAGUACCCACUUUCGCUAUUAGACCACAGCAACAACAGAAAAUGGUAUCAUUCCUUUGGUGUUGUUGUUUUGUUUUGUUCUGUUUUGUUUCUGCAGGGCUACUCAGCGUCCCAAUUUCUUAAAGCAGUGUAGGUACUCAACAUCUUUCAUGAAUUUUUCUGGAUCCAGUUCCGCCCAAUGAUAAUGCACUAAAAAGAACAAAGAUAAGACACAUUACAGGAGAAGGUCCCAAAAUAUGCCUUCAAAUCCUAUUUAAAAAAUAUAACCAAGCCUAAAGAAACAGCUGUAGGAUACCCUUUCAGUUCAUACAAUGACAACGGCAUGACAGUGUUUCACUAUACUAUGAACAAUCUGCCAGGUUGUCAUGUAUAAUUCCAAACACCUUCUCACCAAAGUUUCCAACUUAUUAGAACCUCAUUCUUAUAGCUCAAAGAGACAUUAGAUAUCUGGGAACUAACUCACUUCUUAAUGGCCUUUGGAACAAAAAGAAUGAGAAAAUAUUUUAAAGUAUUCACUUUAAAUGAAAAGGCAACAUAUCACCAUCUGUGAUAUGCACCUAAGGCAGUAUGUAGAGGGAAAUUCAUAGCACUCAAAGCUUAUAUUAGAAAAGAAAAAAGCUAUCACAGCAAUAAUCUGAGUUUCCACAUUAAGAAACUAAAAGAAUAAAAGCAGAGUAAAACCCA
rnacentral:lncRNA from 1 species